UACGAAGGGGGCUAGCGUUGUUCGGAUUUACUGGGCGUAAAGCGCACGUAGGCGGGUCGUUAAGUCGGGGGUGAAAUCCUGGAGCUCAACUCCAGAACUGCCUUCGAUACUGGCGACCUAGAGUCCGGAAGAGGUGAGUGGAACUCCUAGUGUAGAGGUGGAAUUCGUAGAUAUUCGGAAGAACACCAGUGGCGAAGGCGGCUCACUGGCCCGGUACUGACGCUGAGGUGCGAAAGCGUGGGGAGCAAACAGG
rnacentral:rRNA from 1 species